CCCUUAGAUGUUCUGGGCCGCACGCGCGCUACACUGAACAGUUCAACAAGUCUUAACCUUGGCCGAUAGGUCUGGGUAAUCUUUGAACGCUGUUCGUGAUUGGGAUAGACCUUUGCAAUUAUGGGUCUUCAACGAGGAAUUCCUAGUAAACGCAAGUCAUCAGCUUGCAUUGAUUACGUCCCCGCCCUUUGUACACACCGCCCGUCGCACCUACCGAUUGAAUGGUCCGGUGAAAUCUCGGGACGGCGGCUUGGUCGCUUGCGUCCGACUGCUGAAACUUGAUUAAACCAUAUCAUUUAGAGGAAGGUGAAGUCGUAACA
rnacentral:rRNA from 1 species